rnacentral:tRNA from 1 species
AGUGAGUUGGCAGAAUAGUGCAACCGACUUAGGAUCGGUAAAUGGAGUAACCCACUCACUAC